rnacentral:rRNA from 1 species
GAGCUUUUGAACAACAUGAAGAGGUAGCGAAGAAGGGGGCCCUUCUUUCCUUGGCGGUACCGCCUCCUCACGACGUCGCGCCUGGACGACCUCACCUAGCCGGGACUGCAGAGUCGUACGCAGAAGCCGGCGGAACUGGUGGGGCGGCUGGAGCAGGCGCGGCGGCGACAGAGGUCUUGGACCGCGUCUACGCACCAGCUCUCGCCGAACUCGUUCUCGGAAACGGACGCCGACACGGGGCUCCAGCGGUGGCAGCGGCGCCGCCGUCUCCACCGGUCUAGCGGCGGAAGUUGGCGGCGGGUACUUAGUCCGGUGCUCUCCCUGAUGUCCUAUAUGAGGUUGGAGCGGCCGCGGAUGCAGAGGCUGAGGCGGCGGUUCGGGAGGCGCCUUACGUAGAACCUGACGUAGCCCCGGAGGUCGUGGCUGCUGAAGGGUCGUCUCUGGUACCUUUUGUGGGAGCUGCUCCUCCUCUAAUAGUUAAAGGCGGGCAGGAUAACCAGCUCGCCGCCCCGCCUGCUGGGCCUCCGCGGCCUCUCGGAAUGGAUGUCCGAGUUGAGACUGUAGACGUAACAGCUACUCUAAGCCCACGCCGGCAUGGUUCGGAAAAAAGUCCUACCACUGGGAUAUAUGAGAAGUUUCCACCACGCUAAAGCCUACCCGGUAAUGUUCGAAGGCGCUCCUAGUCUCUGCAAACAUUACCUACUAAUACUCUUAUUCUACCAUUUACGACUACUUUUUAUGUACACCUGAAUGUGAAGCGGUCUCAAGGGAUACAAUGUCUUUUUGCUUGAUGUUAGGAAGUUCGAGGGUGCGGGGCAGGAAACGUAACCACCACACCACUACUAACUUGAGAACCCGUCUCAUGUCUUUGUUCUUCGUCUACUAUCCAUGAUGUAUACGCAAACGGUACGACUUCACUACCCCGCAAGUGAGAGUGGUGAAAAGUACCAACUUUAGAGCCUAGGACUUCCAAUAAGUUAGGAGUUCAUGAAUGGCCCACGGUUUCUGGAUAGGUAGCUACUGAAAAACGUUCUACUAUGGUUUCUGAGCGGCCUCACCGUGAUAGAACAACCAUCUAUGUCCGUCUACUUAGUGUCUCGUCAUCAUCACUCACGUGAAAACCUCGGACAUGUAAUGUACGUACUACAUCCACCGUAGAGUCUGCUACUAGUACUUCUACUACAUCCACCGUAGAGUCUGCUACUAGUACUCCUACUACAUCCACCGUAGAGUCUGCUACUAAUAGAACUCAUCUAAACGCACGACCUGACGUCGAUGUUGAGACGGCACCAAAAUGAGAAACAUCAAAUCACUUGUGGAGACUUGAGACGUUCGGAAACAACGUUUGUAAAGACUUCGGAGACAAGAGCUUGGAUCUCCUGGACUAGCUCUGUUCAACGAGAAUGCCAGACGUUGAGACGAGUUCGAACGAGCACAAAAGAGAACACAAAAACAAAUCACCACUCAUAAACAGUAUAUAAUGAGAAGUUUAUUUACGGCAAACGCCUACCUAAUGACUUAGAAUACCGUGUGAUACUUAAGUACUAUAACAUCUGAAUGACAUAUAUAUACGACUUACGUAAGAUUAGCAGC